UUUUAUUUUUUAUAAUAUAUAUAAUAAUGAAAUACAGACACAAUAUACAAAGAGUUUAGGGGUUUAGGGUUUUGAGCACCCAUCGGAAUUGUCCAUACAAGUUUCCGACAGCAACGCUGCUCCUCUGCUCCUCUAUCAGUACAUACAUUACAUUGCAAUGUCGAAGACAUCCGAAGAAGUGGUUCAAUUUACGAAGCAGCCUUACAUUGAAGAUGUUGGCCCGAGAAGAAUUAAGAGCAUUACAUUCUCCACCUUUUCUGAAGCCGAUAUAUUUAAAGCAGCGGAAGUUCAAGUAUACAAGGAUAAAUAUUAUGAUGAGAAGAGAAAGCCUGUAGAGGGAGGCUUAUUGGACCCUCGUAUGGGUCCUACAAGCAAAAAUGGGUUUUGUGCAACCUGCGAUGGAAGCUUUCGAGAUUGUCCAGGGCAUUAUGGUUGUCUAACUCUUUCAGUUCCGGUUUAUAAUGUUGGAUAUUUAGGCACUAUCGUGGAUAUUUUAAAGUGCAUUUGCAAGAGUUGUGCCUCCAUACUGUUACCGGAAAAAGAAUAUGCGGACUAUUUAAAGAAGAUGCGAAAAGAUAUCGAUCCUUUAAAGAAGAACGAGCUUUUCAAAAGGAUAGUAAAAAAGUGCACUGCAAUGGCAAGCAGUAAGAAGGCGGUGAAGUGUUUAAAGUGUGGAUAUAUAAAUGGUACGGUUAAAAGGGCUGGGUUGGGUGUGGAACAUGAUCGUUCAAAAGUUACAGAUAGUUCUCUAGAAGAAUCUCGUUCAGCUAUAUCGCAUUUAAAGGAUUCCACAGGAUCUAAGUCGCCUUCCAUUAUUAACCCCGACAGAGUACUUUCUCUUUUUAAGAAAAUACAGGACAAGGUUUGUGACUUGCUAUAUCUGAGUGAUAGACCUGAGAAAUUCCUAAUCACAAGUAUUGCUGUGCCUCCAGUUCCUAUUCGCCCUUCUGUAUUUGUCGAUGGUGGACAGAUGAGCAAUGAGAAUGACAUAUCAGAGAGAUUGAAACUAAUCAUUCAAACAAAUGCUACUCUUCAUCAGAAUUUAACAACAGCAAGUUAUGCACCCAAAGCUCUUGAACUGUGGCCUCUGUUGCAAGUGGAGGUUGCACGGUACAUAAACAGCGAUGUACGUGGAGUGCCACUAAGUAUGCAAGAAUCCAAGCCCCUGAGUGGUUUUGUUCAACGCCUAAAAGGAAAACAGGGACGCUUUCGAGGAAAUUUGUCUGGGAAACGAGUGGAAUAUACUGGGAGAACUGUUAUAUCGCCAGAUCCGAAUCUUAAGAUUACAGAGGUUGCAAUUCCUAUCCUGAUGGCCCAAAUUUUGACUUAUCCUGAGCGUGUAUCAAGUCAUAAUAUAGAAAAGCUGAGGCAAUGUGUUAGAAAUGGAUGCUACAAGUACCCUGGCGCCAAUUUUAUCAGAAUGGCUGAUGGAACUUUAAUGGUGUUAAAGUUCCCUUCCAGAGUGCGCCUUGCUGAUGAACUGAAAUUUGGUCAGAUUGUCGAACGUCAUUUAGAAGAUGGUGAUAUUAUUCUUUUCAACAGACAACCCAGCUUACAUCGAAUGUCAAUCAUGUGCCAUAGGGCAAGAAUAAUGCCAUGGCGUACAUUGCGAUUCAACGAGUCAGUUUGCAAUCCUUACAAUGCUGAUUUUGACGGUGAUGAGAUGAAUAUGCAUGUCCCACAAACCGAGGAGGCUCGAACAGAGGCUCUUAUGUUGAUGGGGGUGCAAAAUAAUUUAUGCACACCAAAGAAUGGAGAGAUUUUGGUGGCGUCCACACAAGAUUUCUUGACUUCCUCUUUUCUCAUCACAAGAAAGGACACAUUCUAUGACCGUGCAUCAUUUUCUCUUAUGUGUUGCUAUAUGGGGGAUGCAAUGGAUCAUAUUGAUUUGCCAACACCAGCAGUAAUCAAGCCAAUAGAACUCUGGACGGGUAAACAAUUAUUUAGUGUCUUAUUGCGCCCACAUGCAAACAUGAGAGUUUAUCUGACUCUCACUGUAAAAGAGAAAAGCUACACCUCUGGGGAGACGAUGUGCCAAAGUGAUGGAUUUGUGUAUUUUCGUAAUAGUGAGCUAGUGAGUGGCCAACUUGGGAAGGCAACCUUAGGAAAUGGAAAUAAAGAUGGUAUGUACUCUAUUCUUCUUCGGGACUACAAAGCACAUGCCGCUUCUGUAUGUAUGAAUCGUUUGGCCAAGCUGAGUGCACGGUGGAUUGGUAAUCACGGAUUUUCAAUUGGAAUCGACGAUGUUCAGCCCGGAGAUCUUUUAAAUAAAGAUAAAGAGGGUAAAAUUACUGAUGGUAAUGUACAGUGUGAUGAACUGAUAAAUAAGUACAACAAUGGAAAGAUUGAACUUCUAGCUGGGUGUGAUGCUGCUCAGACAUUAGAAACUCUGAUAGCCAAAGUUUUAAAUGAUAUUCGAGGGGAAGCUGCUAAGCUUUGCAUGAAAAGCUUGCAUUGGAGGAACAGCCCCCUUAUUAUGUCACAAUGUGGUUCUAAAGGAUCGCCCAUCAAUAUUAGUCAGAUGGUUGCCUGUGUUGGUCAGCAGUCUGUCAGUGGUGGACGUGCACCGAAUGGAUUUCUAGACCGGAGUCUUCCUCAUUUUCAUAAAAACUCAAAGAUACCUGCGGCCAAGGGCUUUGUUGGAAAUUCAUUUUAUAGUGGUUUGACUGCUACAGAAUUUUUCUUUCACACAAUGGGAGGUCGAGAAGGCCUUGUGGAUACAGCGGUUAAAACGGCUGACACUGGGUACAUUUCACGUCGAUUAAUGAAAGCUCUUGAAGAUCUAGCUGUUCAUUAUGACAAAACUGUACGAAAUGCUAGUGGAUGUAUUGUUCAGUUUACCUAUGGUGAUGAUGGCAUGGAUCCAUCACAAAUGGAAGAAAAAGGUGGACUGCCUCUCAAUUUUGACAGAUUAUUAUUGAAAGUCAAGGCUGCAUGCCCUCCUGAAGAACAUAUUGGCAUGCCGUCAUCAGAAAUUGUAAAAGUUGUUGAUGAAACACUCACAAAGCACGUUAUGGCUUCGGAAGGGGAUUGUUCAAAGGCCUUUAAUAAAUCAUUAUCUGAGUUUCUUAAAGCGUGUGCCGAAAGAUCAAAUAAUACAAGGGUAGCUCUGAAAUUGGAGAAAGAGCUGAGGAGUGAGGAUUUCGACAACCUAGAAAAUGUUGCUAAAAAUAUAUCUGGCAUUACCCACCAGCAGCUACAGGUCUUCAUGGAAACAUGUAUUUCCCGCUAUCAUCAGAAGGUAGUUGAAGGUGGAACAGCAAUUGGGGCGAUUGGGGCACAUAGUAUUGGUGAGCCAGGAACACAGAUGACUUUGAAGACCUUCCACUUUGCAGGAGUUGCAAGCAUGAAUGUUACACAGGGAGUACCUCGUAUUAAGGAAAUCAUUAAUGCAGCCAAGAACAUCAGUACACCUAUCAUUACUGCCAAACUCGAGUUUAGUGAUAGUUUAGUAAGUGCGAGACUGGUGAAGGGUCGUAUUGAAAAAACUGUUCUAGGCCAGGUUGCAAAGAGCAUCAAGAUUGUCAUGGCAUCACGAUCAGCAUCUGUUACUGUCACCCUUGACAUGGAUGUAAUUCAAGCUUCAGAACUAUGUAUAAAUGCACACACAGUAAAAGAAUCAAUAUUAAGUACUCCAAAGAUUAAACUAAAGGAACAGAACAUACAUGUUCUGGAUGCUAGAAAGUUGGAAGUCAUUCCUACAUCUGAUAGAAGCAAGCUUCAUUUCGAACUCCACAGGCUAAAAGAUAGACUUCCAACAGUUGUUGUGAGGGGAAUUAAUUCGAUUAAGCGUGCAGUUAUAAAGGAAUGUGACGGUAAAAAAGGCACGUAUGAGUUGGCCGUUGAAGGUACGGGUCUUGAUGCUGUCAUGGGAACUGAAGGAGUUGAUGGGCCUAAGACAACCAGUAAUCACAUCAUGGAAGUUCAGAAGACUCUGGGAAUAGAAGCUGCAAGAAAAUGUAUAAUUCUGGAAAUUCAGAAAACGAUGAAAGAUAUGAGUAUAGAUGUACGUCAUAUGAUGCUUUUAGCAGAUCUGAUGACAUAUAAGGGUGAAGUUUUAGGAAUCACGAGACAUGGAAUUCAGAAAAUGAAGGAUAGUGUAUUGAUGCUUGCUUCUUUUGAGAAAACAUCUGAUCACCUUUUUAAUGCUUCUGUAAAUGGGAGGGUUGACAAAAUUGAAGGAGUAAGUGAAUGCAUCAUCAUGGGCAUACCAAUGCAGAUAGGCACGGGAAUGCUAAAAGUUAUGCAAAGAGUUCCACCGGUUGAACUGCAACGUGGAGCAGAUCCAGUAAUAAGCUGAUAAUUACUAUAGGAAGUUGAUCAUGACUAUAGGCGACUUGUAAAGAAUUUGCUCCGACCAGCCAAGAAUGUCUCAAGUAUACCUUUUGAUGUUGCAAUGGAGGAGACCAUAAACUGGGGACUGAAGCAGAAAAACUGAGGGAAAGAUGAAACAGAUUAAUGGGAGAGAGGAGAAUGUAAGUGAAUUUCGGUAGGUGGUACAGGAGAUAAGAACCAGGGUAUAUUGUCAAAGUUGAGUGAUUGUGGCAGAUCAAUACAAUGCAUAAAUUUGUACAAGUAAACGAAAUAAGAAA